ACGCGAAGAACCUUACCUACACUUGACAUCCCUUGCAUUACUCUUAAUCGAGGAAAUCCCUUCGGGGACAAGGUGACAGGUGGUGCAUGGUUGUCGUCAGCUCGUGUCGUGAGAUGUUGGGUUAAGUCCCGCAACGAGCGCAACCCUUGUCGUUAGUUACUACCAUUAAGUUGAGGACUCUAGCGAGACUGCCUGGGUUAACCAGGAGGAAGGUGGGGAUGACGUCAAAUCAUCAUGCCCCUUAUGUGUAGGGCUACACACGUGCUACAAUGGCUGGUACAGAGAGAUGCAAUACCGCGAGGUGGAGCCAAACUUUAAAACCAGUCUCAGUUCGGAUUGUAGGCUGAAACUCGCCUACAUGAAG
rnacentral:rRNA from 1 species